GCUGUUUCGCUGACGAGUGGCGGACGGGUGAGUAAUGUCUGGGAAACUGCCUGAUGGAGGGGGAUAACUACUGGAAACGGUAGCUAAUACCGCAUAACGUCGCAAGACCAAAGAGGGGGACCUUCGGGCCUCUUGCCAUCAGAUGUGCCCAGAUGGGAUUAGCUAGUAGGUGGGGUAACGGCUCACCUAGGCGACGAUCCCUAGCUGGUCUGAGAGGAUGACCAGCCACACUGGAACUGAGACACGGUCCAGACUCCUACGGGAGGCAGCAGUGGGGAAUAUUGCACAAUGGGCGCAAGCCUGAUGCAGCCAUGCCGCGUGUAUGAAGAAGGCCUUCGGGUUGUAAAGUACUUUCAGCGGGGAGGAAGGGAGUAAAGUUAAUACCUUUGCUCAUUGACGUUACCCGCAGAAGAAGCACCGGCUAACUCCGUGCCAGCAGCCGCGGUAAUACGGAGGGUGCAAGCGUUAAUCGGAAUUACUGGGCGUAAAGCGCACGCAGGCGGUUUGUUAAGUCAGAUGUGAAAUCCCCGGGCUCAACCUGGGAACUGCAUCUGAUACUGGCAAGCUUGAGUCUCGUAGAGGGGGGUAGAAUUCCAGGUGUAGC
rnacentral:rRNA from 1 species